rnacentral:lncRNA from 1 species
CAGAUAUUGUUUUUAGAAAACAAAAUCCCUCGGCCAGGAACUACCUACCCACAAACUCCGCACGGAACUUCUGCCUAAUUACUCUCCUCAUAUCUCUCCCGAUUCCACUCCCCGCCAGCCACGCACCUCCCAGAUCCUCUUCUCCCCCGGCCUUGCACGCACCUGCAUCUCAUCGUCGUCGAGCAGCACGACCACUUCACCGGCCACUUCCGUCCCAUCCACCGCGCCGGAGCGCCACUCUUCCGUACAUGCAGCGGUGCUCAUCUCCAGCCAAGGUGGCCGCUGGUGUGGUUGCCUAACCAUGCUCCCGGAGGAUCACUACAUGCCAGGAGGAUCAGAAGCCAUAAGAAUCAGCACGCAUCCCUUUUGGAUGUUCCUUUUUGCCGAAUUCUUUGCGUCCAUGCAGGUACUAUUUAUUUCUUUUUGAAACGGACCAGGUACUAUUUUGAGAUUGUAUGAGUAUAUGCUUUCAAAUUUCCAUGGAUACGUAUUAUAUUGCUUCUACCUGACAUACAAUUCCCUUCAUACAUACAUAGCUGUAGUUCUUGACCAAUGUUCCAAAAAAAACUGUAGUUUUUGACCGUGUAUAGUUUGUUUCAUGUGUUUCAUACAUGCGCUUCUACACUGUGUUCAGCUUGCUUCAUUUGCAUGCUUCGUAAUGUUUUGUAGGCGUUGUGUUCGAACUCAAUUCAAACAACUCAUUUUGUAAUUUCUGCAGGGUUGUCAACAGCGGAAGAACAUGCCAUGCCGAUGUGAGAUCAAUUUGGAAGCAAAUUAGCGUGUCACACACUCAGUGGCCACAUGUCAAGAUUGUUGGCCCCUCAAUGGCGUCGACGCUCGCCGACGUUGACACCAUAGAUUUGUGGGAGAAAUGAAUGUCAUCAAGACUAGGUCGGACAUGGUUGGAUGGAGCAUAGAGGGGAACUAGAGAUUAGGAAGCACGAUUUGUGUUUCGAAGCAUUACUUCGAUGUGAUUAAUUUCAUCAUUCAUUGUGCUUCCACAUGAUUUCUUUGCGAAGCAACUGUUUUCAUUAUACAUCAAGAUUGUAUCAAUUGCAAUUACUAAUUGGUUGGAAGAAAUUUUGUAAGUGAUGGAAGCACGAGAUUGAUGCUUUUGAAACAAGAAAAAAAUGCUUUUCUUCUAGCAAUGCGUCAUCAUUCAUGUUGUGCUUCCAUGUGAUUUCUUUGCGAAGCAAAAUUUUCUUUAUUUGAA